CCUACGGGAGGCAGCAGUGGGGAAUAUUGGGCAAUGGGCGCAAGCCUGACCCAGCAACGCCGCGUGAAGGAAGAAGGCUUUCGGGUUGUAAACUUCUUUUGACAGGGAAGAGUAGAAGACGGUACCUGUCGAAUAAGCCACGGCUAACUACGUGCCAGCAGCCGCGGUAAUACGUAGGUGGCAAGCGUUGUCCGGAUUUACUGGGUGUAAAGGGCGUGUAGCCGGGUUGACAAGUCAGAUGUGAAAUCCUGCGGCUUAACCGCAGAACUGCAUUUGAAACUGUUGGUCUUGAGUACUGGAGAGGCAGACGGAAUUCCCAGUGUAGCGGUGAAAUGCGUAGAUAUUAGGAAGAACACCAGUGGCGAAGGCAGUCUGCUGGACAGCAACUGACGGUGAGGCGCGAAAGCGUGGGGAGCAAACAGGAUUAGAUACCCCUGUAGUC
rnacentral:rRNA from 1 species